CGGGGCGUAGCGCAGCUUGGUAGCGCACUUGCAUGGGGUGCAAGGGGUCGAGUGUUCGAAUCACUCCGUCCCGACCA
rnacentral:tRNA from 2 species